GAUGAAGAACGCAGCGAAAUGCGAUACGUAAUGUGAAUUGCAAAUUCAGUGAAUCAUCGAGUCUUUGAACGCACAUUGCGCCCCCUGGUAUUCCGGGGGGCAUGCCUGUCCGAGCGUCAUUGCUGCCCUCAAGCACGGCUUGUGUGUUGGGCCCCGUCCUCCGAUUCCGGGGGACGGGCCCGAAAGGCAGCGGCGGCACCGCGUCCGGUCCUCGAGCGUAUGGGGCUUUGUCACCCGCUCUGUAGGCCCGGCCGGCGCUUGCCGAUCAACCCAAAUUUUUAUCCAGGUUGACCUCGGAUCAGGUAGGGAUACCCGCUGAACUUAAGCAUAUAAUAAGCGGAGGA
rnacentral:misc_RNA from 1 species